GGGGAUUUAGCUCAGUGGUAGAGCGUUUACCUAGGAAGCGCAAGGCCCUGGGUUCGAUCCCCAGCUCCG
rfam:Rattus norvegicus chromosome 3, whole genome shotgun sequence.